GCAGGGUCCGCCUUUAUCCCUGCGACCCCCUGCAGAACGCAGGGUCCGCCUUUAUCCCUGCAGUGGAGGUGGCCCCUAAGUCCUGACUGUGUGUCCUUGGACUGCUGGUACCUUUGGCUUUGGGGGCAGAGCCGCGGUCGGGAGUGAGGCCAGCCGCCCCACUGCUUCCCCAGAUCGCAGGCCUGAGCACUGCCCCAGGGCCCAGGCCUCAGGCACCUGAGCUGCUAGACUGGGCCUAGAGAAGGGACCAGGGUGGUGGGAGGUCUGGAGCAAAGGCCAAGGGGGGAGUGGCCCAAGGCUUUGGGCUGGGAGAGGGAGGGUUAAGGUGACCACCUGGGUCCUCGGGGGUGAUGCAGGUAGGUUUCAGCUCAGAAAAAUGAGCAUUUUUAAGAAAUGCUCUCUGACAGGAGAAUCAGCUGCCUCAGUUCAAUUAUAAGAACCCGUCCGUCUUAAAAACGCUUCAUAUACGUGUGGAAGGAACUGUGUCCUCUGGCGAUGACUGAGCUGUUGAUUUUGACUUGUCUAAUUUAGUAAACAGACGUUCACACAAGUUACCUGAGUCACAGGGUGAGGAAAGGCUCUGAAAUGACCAGAGCGGUGGAUUGUGCCGGCAGGCGAGGCCUCCGCCAUGGGAGGUGGGUGAAGGGAGGGCGGGUGAGGUGGCAGUGCUGACACUCAGCCUCCCAGGGAUGGGAGUCUGCGGUGCCCUUUCUUUGAUUUGCCAACUGCAAGAGUUGGUGCUGUUCUACCCAUUUCACGGAUGAGCAAAUUGAGGCCCAGAGAGGUCCUGCAUCCAGGAUCUUACAGUUUGUGGAACACUUGGACCUAGAUGUUCUCUCUCGAAGCCUUGGUCCCGCCCGCCCCCUGUAAGCAAAGACUGGGGCGUAGGAGUGUCUUCUGCAGUGUGGGAUAGUCUGCUGGCUGGAACGGGGCUGGAAAGUUACUCUGGAGUCAGAUUGUAAAGGGCCUUGAACUCCCUAACCGUGGGCUCUCUGAUGAAACCUGGGGACACUGGGUUUACUUCAGAAGGCUGUCCUGCAUUAAGUGGGAACAACUGGGUGACUGCAGCGGGCCGUCCCCACAAGCUUGGGGUUCUUUCCAUCUCUUCAACAUCCCCGUCUGUGUUAAAGCACCACCACACCCCUGUGCCCCUAUUGAUUUUAUAAAAGAAUAUAAGCAAAGUAGAAAAAGAGUAUAAAGAAAGUGCCGGUCACCUGUCUCUCAUGGUCCAGAGACAAGCCCUGCUGAACAUCGUCUUCCUCCUCAUUCUCUCGGGCUUUUCUCCGGGCUGGGUGCAGGGCACAGGUGCCGUGGGCAGGGCACAGGUGCCGGGUGCAGGGCACAGGUGCCGUGGGCAGGGCACAGGUGCCGUGGGCAGGGCACAGG